AUCAACACAGCUAUGUUCACCUGCUUUUUGACGAAGGCUUCAAAAACGUAUGGUGGAGCAAGGACAGCCCACUUCAACAAAUGUUGCUGGGAAAACUGGAUAUCUGCAUACAGGAAACUGAAACUAGAUCCAUGUCUUUCACCCUGUACAAGUACUGCAUAUGAGGCUACAAUUAUCUCAAAGAUUAAGAUGUUAAAAGAAGGAAGCAAAUCAGAAGGGAAAUAGAUACUUCAAUCUGUCAGUUACGGCAUGAGCCUUAGAAUUUUGACGUCAUAACGAAGGAAGACAAUUCUUGUGAAAUGGGAAUCCAGGAUGAGAAAACUACAUCUUCAGAGUCCACAGUGUAAAACCUGCUCAUCCUCAGCUCCAACAAACUCAGAAACAUCUGGGCAUGAAUAUCCUUAUGGAAUUAAAACGAGCCACCUUGGAUCCAUGCCACAGGGACCUCUGACCCUUCAGAGGUCCAAUCUGGAGUAAUUAUCCCCAGACCUCCAAGACCAGUUCAUCCUGAGGCCAAGGCACCCAGCUAAAGGACAGCAGGGGAGCAAUGAUUCCCUUCCCUUUCUUCAGAUUCAGAGCAGAAGACAGACAAAAGAAGAUGUACUUUCACAAAUUAGAUGUUUAGGCAGAGCUCUGUCUCCUACCGAUACGACCAGUGUAUGGUGCAAUUGCUGCAAAAGUUCUUUGGAACUUCUCUCAUGGAUAUUUGUGAAAAUGGCAGUCUUCCCAUCCCAAUUCUGGAUAUGAUUUUCUUUAUCAAUCAAAAAGGGCCAGUCACAGAAGGCAUCUCCCAAAAACCAGGCAAUGUAAACUCAUGCAGAGCCCUCAAAGAGAGACUAAAUUCUGGACUCCAAGUGGACUUGGAUGGGAAAUUCAUCUUUGUGACAGCAUCAGUGUUAAAGUUUUGCAGACCAGCUGCCAAAGUACAACAUUCUUCUCUUGAAAUACCUUUCUGCAGUGCUGAACAACAUUCUGCAACAUUCCACAGCCAAUAACAUGACUCCUUAUAAUUAAUUUGUCUAUAUGUGUGGCUCCAAGUAUUCUUUGGAUGCCUACUGUCCAGCUCAGAAGUAGAAAAAGAACUAAGAUAAAAGAAGGAAUUGUCAUCUUGGACAACAUUUCCAAGCCAGUUUCUUCAUCUAAACAUUGGCAGGGGUGAAAGUGCCCAGUUCCCGUGGUCUUUACGGAGACUUCCUGUCUGGCUUGGGCAACAUGGGCACCUAUGGCUCCAGUACGUUGGCUCUUACUGACUGUUGUGGCUCAUUCAUAAAAAUGUUUGGCAAUCAUUUUCUAUGCUACUCAGCUUCUCAUUACUAUAACAAAACAAGUGAGAUAAUAAACUCCUAAAUGUGAAAUGCUUAUUUUGACUUGCAUUUUUGGAGGUUCAAUUUUGUGUUUGAUUGACCCCAUGGAUUUUUGUCCUGUGGUUAGUACAUCACAGUGGGAGUCCUUAACAGAGAAAAACUGCUCACCUAAUGGUAAGGAAGCAAUUUUAAAGAGAGUGGAAGGGUUGAACGUCCCACACCCUAUGCAAGGGCAUACAUCAGUGACUUAAUCACCACCCAUUAGGUAUAAACUUUUAAAGGUUAUCUCCCAAUACCACCACAUUUGGUAGCAAGCCUUCAACAUGUGGACCAUUGUGGGAGAAUCAGAAUAUAAACUAAAUCACAUUUUGUCUACACCACAUAAGAAAACUUGUAAAAGAUUCCAAAUCUGCAGGGCACGGGUGGUUCACGCCUGUAAUCCUAGCUACUCAGGAGGCAGAGAUCAGGAGGAUGGUGGUUCGAAGCCAGCCUGGGCAAAUAGUUC